GUGAGGAAUAUUGCGCAAUGGAGGCAACUCUGACGCAGCCAUGCCGCGUGCAGGAAGAAGGCGCUACGCGUUGUAAACUGCUUUUAACCGGGAAGAAACCCCAGGACGUGUCCUGGGUUGACGGUACCGGAGGAAUAAGCACCGGCUAACUUCGUGCCAGCAGCCGCGGUAAUACGAAGGGUGCAAGCGUUAUCCGGAUUCAUUGGGUUUAAAGGGUGCGUAGGCGGAGCGUUAAGUCAGUGGUGAAAUCCUGCAGCUUAACUGUAGACUUGCCAUUGAUACUGGCGCUCUUGAGUGCGCUUGAAGUAGGCGGAAUGUGCCGUGUAGCGGUGAAAUGCUUAGAUAUGGCACAGAACACCAAUUGCGAAGGCAGCUCACUAAGGCGAUACUGACGCUGAGGCACGAAAGCGUGGGGAUCGAACAGGAUUAGAAACCCGGGUAGUCC
rnacentral:rRNA from 1 species